UACGUAGGGUGCAAGCGUUGUCCGGAAUUAUUGGGCGUAAAGAGCUCGUAGGCGGUCUGUCGCGUCGGCUGUGAAAUCCCGAGGCUCAACCUCGGGUCUGCAGUCGAUACGGGCAAACUAGAGUAUUGCAGGGGAGACUGGAAUUCCUGGUGUAGCGGUGAAAUGCGUAGAUAUCUGGAGGAACACCGGUGGCGAAGGCGGCAUCCUGGACCAACACUGACGCUGAUGAGCGAAAGCCAGGGGAGCAAACGGG
rnacentral:rRNA from 1 species